CACAGUGUAGCAAUACAUGGGUGGCGACCGGCAAACGGGUGCGGAACACGUACGCAACCUUCCUUCAGGCGGGGAAUAGCCCAGAGAAAUUUGGAUUAAUACCCCAUAAUAUUUUGAGAUGGCAUCAUCUUAUUAUUAAAGCUACGGCACCUGGAGAUGGGCGUGCGGCUGAUUAGGUAGUUGGCGGGGUAAUGGCCCACCAAGCCUACGAUCAGUAGCUGAUGUGAGAGCAUGAUCAGCCACACGGGCACUGGGACACGGGCCCGACUCCUACGGGAGGCAGCAGUAAGGAAUAUCGGUCAAUGGACGCAAGUCUGAACCAGCCAUGCCGCGUGGAGGAUGAAGGUCCUCUGGAUUGUAAACUUCUUUUAUCUGGGACGAAAAAAGGGUUUUCUAACUCGUCUGACGGUACCAGAUGAAUAAGCACCGGCUAACUCCGUGCCAGCAGCCGCGGUAAUACGGAGGGUGCAAGCGUUAUCCGGAUUCACUGGGUUUAAAGGGUGCGUAGGCGGGCAUUUAAGUCAGUGGUGAAAUACCUGAGCUUAACUUGGGAACUGCCAUUGAUACUAUUUGUCUUGAAUGUCGUGGAGGUUAGCGGAAUAUGUCAUGUAGCGGUGAAAUGCUUAGAUAUGACAUAGAACACCUAUUGCGAGGGCAGCUAACUACGCGAAUAUUGACGCUGAGGCACGAAAGCGUGGGGAUCAAACAGGAUUAGAUACCCUGGUAGUCCACGCCCUAAACGAUGAUUACUCGACAUUAGCGAUACACUGUUAGUGUCUGAGCG
rnacentral:rRNA from 1 species